AUUGAACGCUGGCGGCAUGCUUUACACAUGCAAGUCGAGCGGCAGCGCGGGGCAACCUGGCGGCGAGCGGCGAACGGGUGAGGAAUACAUCGGAACGUACCCGAGAGUGGGGGAUAACGCCGCGAAAGCGGCGCUAAUACCGCAUAUUCUCCGAGGAGGAAAGUGGGGGACCGCAAGGCCUCACGCUCACGGAGCGGCCGAUGUCGGAUUAGCUAGUUGGUGGGGUAAAGGCUUACCAAGGCGACGAUCCGUAGCUGGUCUGAGAGGAUGAUCAGCCACACUGGGACUGAGACACGGCCCAGACUCCUACGGGAGGCAGCAGUGGGGAAUUUUGGACAAUGGGGGCAACCCUGAUCCAGCCAUGCCGCGUGCGGGAAGAAGGCCUCGGUUGUAACCGCUUUAGUCGGUAAGAAAGGACGUCGUCUAAUAAACGGACGUUCUUGUACGGUACCGGCGGAAUAAGACACCGGCUAACUACGUGCCGGCAGCCGCGGUAAAGUCACGUCG
rnacentral:rRNA from 1 species